rnacentral:lncRNA from 1 species
UACAGUUUAGAAUGUGUUUUCCCAGCGGACUUAACUAGUAAUUAGUGUGCAUUUUCCUUAAGGUUCUGUCUGAUUGUUUCCAUAAGCAGUAUCUUUUUGAAAAUGGGGACAUAAUAUGAUUCCUGUUCUCCUGAGACAUAAACGUUAAUCAAAAGCCACAGGGAAAAAGAUGUUAAUGCGCCAGUUCCAGACAGCUGACAAUAGCGCUGUUCAUGCUAAAGCCACUAAAGUCAGUAUAGCAAUAGCCAUCUGUUAUUGUCUCACCUUCACAGAUCCACUUGGCCUUCACAUUUUUAUGUACAAAUUCUUAUUUCUAUUGUUUUCUCAUUUGAACAGAGCAUCAUGGUCCACCAUCAGGAACAAACUCAGCCAGGCAAAGCCCAGCCCUGCAGCACAGGCCCAUGGGACAGUCACAGGCCAACCACAUACCUGGGGACAGGUGGGGCUAUUUUCAGGUUUUUGUUUUUGUUUUUUUCUUAUUCUCUCCUUAUUGCUCUGCUAUUCAGAACCCCACUCCCCAUCAUCCACCCCCAUACAGUAAUGCAGAUGCCAGCUGUUGAGGUCAAAAUGACAACUCUUGCCUGUUCCUCAAAUACCGUCCCCAUCACCUCCACCCAUUCAGUACCUUUGUCCCUCUUCCAGCCUCCAUCCCAGGCACAGCAUAAUUAUCCAAUCUUGCCUGACAUGCGAGGAUUAGAAAGAAAUGACAUAGCAUCUGGCUCUGCUACUCUUGGUCCUCAUUGUUUUCAUAGGGAAGCUGCAGACCCAUAUGGAUUGCUGUCUUAUCAGACCACCUGAGCAGAGCAGGUUUUAUGUGUAUUUCUGUCUUCUUUCAUUGAAAAUAUUAGCCUAGAUUUCCAGAAAUCCAGCAUCUUCACGGGCAUUGGUGCUGCAGGAGAGCCAUUUUUCACUGUGACAGGGUCAGCUUAACUGCCCUCUGGCGUAGUUAUUUGAUUGCAGUUUUCUUUGAUAUAAACUGCUCUGAGAUGUCCUUAAAAAAAUUGUGGAUGUUGACAGACUUCAAAGUAUGUUGGAAUUAAUGACCAGGUUUCUCCUAGCACCCCUCUGAUUUUAGAUAUAGUCUGUCUUCAUAGUGGUUUGUCAGAGGGAAAAUGGCAAGGUCGAGCUUUUAAAAGAAAAGAAAUUAAUCUGCCUUUAGACUGUUUUUCAUUUUCUCAGUUCAGAGAGUGACUUGAUUUCUCUCUCUUGUAGAAGUGCCCUAGAAGGUGAAAUUGGAAAAGAUGUCUCCACUUCUUACAGACAUUCUUGGUCAGACCACAAGCACCUUGCACAGCCUGACACCGCAGUAAUUUCAGUUGUAGGCAGUCGGCACAAUCAGGUAAACAAACAUUUCCCCAGAUGGGGAGUGAUAUUUUGAGUUGCCAUACCACUGGCAUUGGUGAAUUUUUAUUGCAAAUCAGUUCAGAUAAAUUUGUUUCCAAAACUAAUAAUUCUCGAAUACCUGCCAUGUGUUUGGCAUUCUGCUGGCAUUCACAGGAGAAUGUUAGGAGUGAAAGAAAAGUUUCCCCUACAGCAGGAGAACUUUGAACCCUUGGUUAAGUACUUAGA